GUGCCAGCCGCCGCGGUAAUACGGAGGGAGCGAACGUUGUUCGGAUUCACUGGGCGUAAAGGGUGUGUAGGCGGUCUUGUAAGUCUGAGGUGAAAUCCCCCGGCUCAACCGGGGAACUGCCUUGGAGACUGCGAGACUUGAGGGCGUGAGAGGAGACUGGAAUUCCUAGUGUAGCGGUGAAAUGCAUAGAUAUUAGGAGGAACACCAGUGGCGAAGGCGAGUCUCUGGCACGCAUCUGACGCUGAAACACGAAAGCCAGGGGAGCGAACGGGAUUAGAUACCCUAGUAGUCC
rnacentral:rRNA from 1 species